rnacentral:rRNA from 1 species
AGGGGCAGCAGUACUUUUCGGAGUAGCUGGCGACCGGCGCACGGGUGCGUAACGCGUAUGCAAUCUACCCACAGCAGAGGGAUAGCCCGUGGAAACAUGGAUUAAUACCUCAUAAUACAGGGAGCCCACCUGGGCAUAUUGUUAAAGCUACGGCGGCAGUGGAUGAGCAUGCGUCCCAUUAGUUAGUUGGUAAGGUAACGGCUUACCAAGACGAUGAUGGGUAGGGGUUCUGAGAGGAUGAUCCCCCACACUGGUACUGAGAUACGGACCAGACUCCUACGGGAGGCAGCAGUAGGGAAUAUUGGUCAAUGGACGGAAGUCUGAACCAGCCAUGCCGCGUGCAGGAAGACGGCCUUCUGGGUUGUAAACUGCUUUUCUCAGGGAAGAAAAAGGCCUUGCGAGGCAAAUUGCCGGUACCUGAGGAAUAAGCACCGGCUAACUCCGUGCCAGCAGCCGCGGUAAUACGGAGGGUGCGAGCGUUGUCCGGAUUUAUUGGGUUUAAAGGGUGCGUAGGCGGCCUAUUAAGUCAGUGGUGAAAGGUAUCAGCUUAACUGAUGACGUGCCAUUGAAACUGAUAGGCUUGAGUACAGACGAGGUAGGCGGAAUUUAUGGUGUAGCGGUGAAAUGCAUAGAUACCAUAAAGAACACCGAUAGCGAAGGCAGCUUACUAGACUGAGACUGACGCUGAGGCACGAAAGCGUGGGGAGCGAACAGGAUUAGAUACCCUGGUAGUCCACGCUGUAAACGAUGAUUACUGGAUGUGUGCGAUAGACAGCACGCGUCUGAGCGAAAGCGUUAAGUAAUCCACCUGGGGAGUACGAUCGCAAGAU